GAAUCUAUAACGCGGUGGCUAGCGCGCGUCGUUCGGGACGACGAGGCCGGAGGUUCAAAUCCUCUCACCCCGACCA
rnacentral:tRNA from 1 species